UAUAUCCAAAAGAGCUUUAAUUGAGAUUCCAGAGAUACAUGCUUCUCCAUAUUCAGUGCAGUGGCAUCACAAUAGCCAUGAUGUAUUAAUGACUCAAGUGUCCAUCAGCAAAUGAAUACAUGAAGAGAAUCCCUAACCCUCAAUCUAACUCUGUCCCAUUUCUCUUAUUCCCCUGGCUCCCCUCCUGAAAGACCACUGCCUUAAUCCUGGCACAGGAGAAGGGGAAUGUUAGAGACACAGUAAGCUACAGCUUUCAGGAGAGACAGAUGGCUGACUGGUUUGUAGCAGAGCCCCUACCUGCAUAAGCGAGGGCAGAGAGCAGCACAGAACCCAGGCUUCCAGCUGCCAAGUUGACUCGGACAAAACCAACAGGGGCUGAGUUCAGCAGAAUCAGUUUUUUCUCCCAACAUUACCCCUCAAAGUUGAAAGAUGGAGUUGUGUUAAGAGAGAAAGCAGAGUACUAUCUGAAACCCGAGAAAAAUCAACCAAAACAGUUUGAUUAGGAAAAUAGUUAACUUUGAAGUAAUGGUUAAAACUUUCUGAUAAGCAAUUGUCAUACUUAAUUGUAUCCACAAAUAAGCAAUAGGAUUUUG